rnacentral:rRNA from 1 species
GACGAACGCUGGCGGCGUGCUUAACACAUGCAAGUCGAACGGAAAGGCCCUGCUUGCAGGGUACUCGAGUGGCGAACGGGUGAGUAACACGUGGGUGAUCUGCCCUGCACUUCGGGAUAAGCCUGGGAAACUGGGUCUAAUACCGGAUAGGAGCCAUUUUUAGUGUGAUGGUUGGACAGUUUUUUCGGUGUAGGAUGAGCUCGCGGCCUAUCAGCUUGUUGGUGGGGUAAUGGCCUACCAAGGCGGCGACGGGUAGCCGGCCUGAGAGGGUGGACGGCCACAUUGGGAAUGAGAUACGGCCCAGACGCCGACGGGAGGCAGCAGUGGGGAAUAUUGCACAAUGGGCGCAAGCCUGAUGCAGCGACGCCGCGUGGGGGAUGACGGCCUUCGGGUUGUAAACUCCUUUCGCUAGGGACGAAGCUUUUUGUGACGGUACCUAGAUAAGAAGCACCGGCUAACUACGUG